rnacentral:lncRNA from 1 species
AGGUGGACCUUUUACUAAGUCAAGCUUAAUUAACCUUGUUAAUAAAUCCAUGCUUGCAUGACUUAGUCUAUUAUGCCAAAACUAAGUAGAUUCAUUUACUUUAGCAUUCAUAGCAACAAGAUACUCAAUAUUUUCAUUUUUAAGUUCAUCAAGAUCAACAAUGUAAAUAUUACUAUGUCUCUUUCCUAUGAAUUUAAUGUUAUCAUCAAAUGAACUAGUUACAAUGCAAUGAGAAGAUU